rnacentral:rRNA from 1 species
UACAGAGGGUGCGAGCGUUAAUCGGAAUUACUGGGCGUAAAGCGUGCGUAGACGGUUAUUUAAGUCGGAUGUGAAAGCCCCGGGCUCAACCUGGGAAUUGCAUUCGAGACUGAAUAGCUAGGGUACGGUAGAGGGAAGCGGAAUUUCCGGUGUAGCGGUGAAAUGCGUAGAUACCGGAAGGAACAUCAGUGGCGAAAGCGGCUUCCUGGACCAGUACCGACGUUCAGGCACGAAAGCGUGGGGAGCAAACAGG